AAAGCAACUGCAGACGGCGGAUCGCCGCGUCGCGCG
rnacentral:rRNA from 1 species